rnacentral:rRNA from 1 species
GACGAACGCUGGCGGCGUGCCUAAUACAUGCAAGUAGAACGCACAGUUUAUACCGUAGCUUGCUACACCAUAGACUGUGAGUUGCGAACGGGUGAGUAACGCGUAGGUAACCUGCCUGGUAGCGGGGGAUAACUAUUGGAAACGAUAGCUAAUACCGCAUAAUAUUGAUUAUUGCAUGAUAAUUGAUUGAAAGAUGCUAUUGCAUCACUACCAGAUGGACCUGCGUUGUAUUAGCUAGUAGGUGAGGUAACGGCUCACCUAGGCGACGAUACAUAGCCGACCGGAGAGGGUGAUCGGCCACACUGGGACGGAGACACGGCCCAGACUCCUACGGGAGGCAGCAGUAGGGAAUCUUAGGCAAUGGACGAAAGUCUGACCGAGCAACGCCGCGUGAGUGAAGAAGGUUUUCGGAUCGUAAAGCUCUGUUGUAAGAGAAGAACGGGUGUGAGAGUGGAAAGUUCACACUGUGACGGUAUCUUACCAGAAAGGGACGGCUAACUACGUG